rnacentral:rRNA from 1 species
AGAAUCAACGCUGGCGGCGUGCCUAACACAUGCAAGUCGAACGAGAAAGGGACUUCGGUCCUGAGUAUAGUGGCGCACGGGUGAGUAACACGUGAAUAAUCUACCCUCGAGUGGGGAAUAACUGAGAGAAAUCUCGGCUAAUACCGCAUAACACUUACGAGUCAAAGCAAGCAAUUGCGCUUGGGGAGGAGUUCGCGGCAGAUUAGUUAGUUGGCGGGGUAAUGGCCCACCAAGACGAUGAUCUGUA